GUACUCACUUCGGCAGUACAAAUACUAAAAUUGGAACGAUACAGAGAAGAUUAGCACAGCCCCUGAGCAAGGAUGACAUGCAAAUUCGUGAAGCGUUCCAUAUUUUU
rnacentral:snRNA from 1 species